ACGUGAUUAGAUUUGACAUCGAGAUGAGAAGAAAAUGUGCUAUUUCCUCACAAAUUGUUAUUAUUUUCACACAUUCUCUAAACAUCAACACAAAUCUUGAUUUUACAAUUUGCAUGACAAUAACAACAUUUUGUGUGGAAAUAGCACUUUGUAUAAUUUAUCAUCUUACUGUUUUUAUUUGACCAUGU